UUAUUCAGGGCCUGAUCCAAAGCCCAUUUAAGUUAGUGGGAGUCUUUUCACUAACUCCAAUGGGUUUUGAAUCAGAUCUUAGAACA
rnacentral:pre_miRNA from 1 species